rnacentral:tRNA from 1 species
ACCUGAAUUAAAAGCAUCCCCAGCGCAAAUGCCGGAAACGAGAUCCCCGACACCGCAAUGGUCAUACUCAAUCGAUCCGGCCAACGAU